rnacentral:rRNA from 1 species
UACGUAGGGCGCAAGCGUUAUCCGGAAUUAUUGGGCGUAAAGAGCUCGUAGGCGGUCUGUCGCGUCGAUCGUGAAAACUUGGGGCUUAACCCUGAGCUUGCGGUCGAUACGGGCAUGACUGGAGUUCGGCAGGGGAGACUGGAAUUCCUGGUGUAGCGGUGGAAUGCGCAGAUAUCAGGAGGAACACCGGUGGCGAAGGCGGGUCUCUGGGCCGACACUGACGCUGAGGCGCGAAAGCGUGGGGAGCAAACAGG